rnacentral:miRNA from 1 species
CAGCAGACACAUUCCAGCCAAUCAGCAGCAGACUCUCCCUCCCAGACCCUGCCACCUCGUGGACAGCAUCCAUUUUGAAGUUGCAUUCUUAGUGAGCUGUCCAGGAGGUGAGAGGGUCUGGGAGGGAGGGUCUGCUGCUGAUUGGCUGGAAUGUGUCUGCUG